UGGGGAAUAUUGCACAAUGGGGGAAACCCUGAUGCAGCAACGCCGCGUGAAGGAAGACGGUUUUCGGAUUGUAAACUUCUGUUCUUAGUGAAGAAUAAUGACGGUAGCUAAGGAGCAAGCCACGGCUAACUACGUGCCAGCAGCCGCGGUAAUACGUAGGUGGCAAGCGUUGUCCGGAAUUACUGGGUGUAAAGGGAGCGCAGGCGGGAGACCAAAGUCAGCUGUAAAAACUACGGGCUUAACCUGUAGACUGCAGUUGAAACUGGUUUCUUGAGUGAAGUAGAGGUUGGCGGAAUUCCGAGUGUAGCGGUGAAAUGCGUAGAUAUUCGGAGGAACACCGGUGGCGAAGGCGGCCAACUGGGCUUUAACUGACGCUGAGGCUCGAAAGUGUGGGGAGCAAACAGGAUUAGAUACCC
rnacentral:rRNA from 1 species